rnacentral:rRNA from 2 species
CGAGAAAAACUUUAGCAAUGUGCGAAAGCACGACAAGGUUAAUCCGAGUGGUUUCUGCUAAAGGAACCUUUUGUCAGUCCUAGAAACACUGGUGAAUAAGGGGUGGGCAAGUUCUGGUGUCAGCCGGCCGCGGUAAAACCAGCACCUCAAGUGGUCAGGAUGAUUAUUGGGCCUAAAAGCAUCCGUAAGCCUGCUUUGUUAGUUUUCGGUUAAAUCCAUUCGCUUAACGAAUGGGCUAGCCGGGAAUACUGCAAAGCUAGGGAGUGGGAGAGGUAGACGGUACUCGGUAGGAAGGGGUAAAU